GGCCGUCCGAGUUGUAAUCUGGAGAAGCGUUUUCAGUGCCGGCCCGCGUACAAGUCCCCUGGAACGGGGCGUCGCAGAGGGUGAGAAUCCCGUCUCUGACGCGGUCAUGUCCGGUGCGUUGCGAUGCGCUCUCGAAGAGUCGAGUUGUUUGGGAAUGCAGCUCAAAACGGGUGGUAAAUUCCAUCUAAAGCUAAAUACUGGCGAAAGACCGAUAGCGAACAAGUACCGUGAGGGAAAGAUGAAAAGCACUUUGGAAAGAGAGUCAAACAGUACGUGAAAUUGUUGAAAGGGAAACGCUUGAAGUCAGUCGCGUCUCUCGGGACUCAGUCGCGCCCCCUCAAAGGGCGCGGCGUACUUCCCGGGUCUGGACGGGCCAGCGUCGAUUUCGACCGUCGUACAAAGGCGUGAGGAACGUGGCACCUUCGGGUGUGUUAUAGCCUCGCGUUCCGUAUGCGACGGUGGGGAUCGAGGAUCGCAGCGCGCCUCUAACGGUCGGGGUUYGCCCACGUAACGCGCUUGGGACGCUGGCUUAAUGGCUUCAAGCGACCCGUCUUGAAACACGGACCAAGGACUCUAACAUGCUCGCGAGUGUUCGGGUGGAAAACCCGCGCGCGUAAUGAAAGUGAAAGGUUGGGACCCUCUUUUUCGAAAGGGGGGCACCGACGCCCGGACUUGAGCUGCUGCGACGGUUCCGAGGCGGAGCGCGUAUGUUGGGACCCGAAAGAUGGUGAACUAUGCCUGAGUAGGGCGAAGCCAGAGGAAACU
rnacentral:rRNA from 1 species